rnacentral:rRNA from 1 species
GGAGUUAGCCGGUGCUUCUUCUGUGAGUGAUGUCCUUCCUGCCGGCUAUUAACCCGCAGGCCUUCUUCCUCACUGAAAGUGCUUUACAACCCGAAGGCCUUCUUCACACACGCGGCAUGGCUGGAUCAGGGUUGCCCCCAUUGUCCAAUAUUCCCCACUGCUGCCUCCCGUAGGAGUCUGGGCCGUGUCUCAGUCCCAGUGUGGCUGAUCAUCCUCUCAGACCAGCUACGGAUCGUCGCCUUGGUGAGCCGUUACCUCACCAACCAGCUAAUCCGACAUAGGCUCAUCCGAUAGCGCGAGGCCCGAAGGUCCCCCGCUUUCCCCCGUAGGGCGUAUGCGGUAUUAGCCUGGGUUUCCCCAGGUUAUCCCCCACUACCGGGCAGAUUCCUAUGCAUUACUCACCCGUCCGCCGCUCGCCACCAGGGAGCAAGCUCCCCGUGCUGCCGCUCGACUUGCAUGUGUUAGGCCUGCCGCCAGCGUUCAAUCUGAGCCAGUGANACAACUCGCGACUAGAGGCGGUCGUCGACGACGGCGACUAGAG